rnacentral:lncRNA from 1 species
GGACUCAUCCCCUCCCCAAAGCCCACUUGACACUCUUCUUGGCAGGGCAGGGGGUUCAUUUACCCUCUCUCAACCUCUGUUCCUUCUGGAAAAAGGAAAGAGCAGAUUGCUGUCCCUGGCCUCUCUGAAGGGCUUUGUGCUGAUGGGGCCUGUCAAGUGUCCAAGUAGUUCGUGGAACAGCAGGACACUAAACACCAACCUGUGGCCUCACAAUGAUGAUGAUGAUUGCGGCCCAUCGUGCGCUGCCCCACGGUUCGGUACCACACGAAGGUACGCGCCGGCCGCGGCUUCAGCCUGGAGGAGCUCAGGGUGGCCGGCAUUCUCAAGAAGGUGGCCCGGACAAACUCAUCCUCUUCCCCAGGAAGCCCUCGGCCCCCAAGAAGGGAGACAG